rnacentral:rRNA from 1 species
UACGUAGGGGGCUAGCGUUGUCCGGAAUCAUUGGGCGUAAAGCGCGUGUAGGCGGCCCGGUAAGUCCGCUGUGAAAGUCGGGGGCUCAACCCUCGGAUGCCGGUGGAUACUGUCGGGCUCGAGUACGGAAGAGGCGAGUGGAAUUCCCGGUGUAGCAGUGAAAUGCGUAGAGAUCGGGAGGAACACCAGUGGCGAAGGCGGCUACCUGGACCAGCACUGACACUGAAGCACGAAAGCGUGGGGAGCAAACAGG